ensembl:lncRNA LINC02715 long intergenic non-protein coding RNA 2715
CAUCAGGAGAGUUUGAUCUCAUCUGAAGUGUGAAUAGGAUUGGUGAAAGAGUGAAAGAGUGUUGUGUGCUUUUGCUGAGUUUAGGAUGGUGUCAAUUGUGCCUCAGGAGAAGAGUUUAGACAUUCUGUCCUGAUGAAUGAUUUUGUGUCCUUUUUAAAACAGCCUCAAUCACCUGAUUCCUCCCUGCCACUUCUCUGCAAAUGAUAGAGUUCACACAUCUAUAAUUCUCUCAUAGGUUCAUGUGGGCUGCUCCUCAUAACCCUGCUCAAACACUACUGAGGCAUCAGGAUCUUCAAGAUUCAUCUCUCUUUGGUGACUUCCUGAAGCUUGAAGUAUCUUCCUUGGGAGACGUAUUAUAGAAUUUGAAAUCCCACUGGCCAGAUCUCAGCAUGUAGUUUCAUCCCAACUCUACAGAAGUCUGGAAAAUACAGAGAGAACAUGCUCUUUCCCUAGGAAGAAGAGAUGAGAGCUCCAUCUCUCUGCUGGUGGAAGGAGAGGUUGUCUUUCCCUUCCCAUAGGGCAAGAAGAGCUGCCUCCACAUCCUCCUUCUGCUGUAGCUGAAGAGCCUGUUUAAAGGAACAUCCUGAUGGGGCUCAGCCUUUUGACCCCCAGAAAACAUGGCUUUGUCUGCCAUCCUGCAGCUCAUCAUGGGAGCCUGCAAAGUGGUUGGGGGCAGCACACACCAGCAUGCUGUGAAGAGAGGAAAGAGCUGCCGGGAUAACAACCCCGCAGCCACCAUAAUGACUCAGAUUAGAACACAAGGGAACACCAGCCAUUUUUUAGUCUGUCAGUUUUUCUAUUAUCCUCAAGACUGAGCAUGAAACAUUCAUUAUAACACGUCCUUAUUGAUUCAACUGAUGGAAAUAUAUUGGUAUUAAUAACACGAAACUCUAAGGCACUGAGGAUAAUAAAAUGAUUGCGAACAUAA